rnacentral:rRNA from 1 species
GACAGAGGGGGCAAGCGUUGCUCGGAAUUACUGGGCGUAAAGGGCGCGUAGGCGGGCUGGCAAGUCGGUCGUGAAAUCCCUCGGCUCAACUGAGGAUCGUCGAUCGAUACUGCCGUUCUUGAGGAUUGCAGAGGAGACUGGAAUUCCCGGUGUAGCGGUGAAAUGCGCAGAGAUCGGGAGGAACACCCGUAGCGAAGGCGGCACUCUGGGCCGGUACUGACGCUCAUGCACGAAAGCGUGGGGAGCAAACAGG